CCCUUAGAUGUUCUGGGCCGCACGCGUGCUACACUGAACGGUUCAAUGGGUGAGGUAGUGCGAAAGCAUGACCCAAUCUCAAAAUCCGUUCGUGCUGGGGAUAGAAGCUUGCAAUUCUCCUUCUUGAACGAGGAAUACCUUGUAAGCGCGAGUCAUCAUCUCGCGCUGAAUACGUCCCUGCCCUUUGUACACACCGCCCGUCGCUCCUACCGAUUGAGUGGUCCGGCGAGGCUUCGGGAGAGCUAAAUGGAUUGUGUUUCACAAACUAUUUGGCUUGAACUUAGUCAAACCUUACUACUUAGAGGAAGGAGAAGUCGUAACA
rnacentral:rRNA from 1 species